ensembl:misc_RNA 7SK 7SK RNA
AGAUGUGAGGACAGCCUCUCUGUGACACCUGUCACCCUAUUGAUCACCACAUAUAAUUUGCUGACUAGGCAAGUGUCCCCUUUCUCCCUUUCUGCUCUGUGUGCAUCCCUUUUGAAGUUGCACAUUUGAUCAAAGAGGACAACCAUCCCCACUAAAGGAGGACCACUACUGAUCAAGGGUGUUACAAGUAGCUACACUCCCCUGCUAGAACCUCCAAUCAAGCUCUCAAUAAAUAUCUCUAAAGAAGUCAGAGGAAAAAAUAUAUCUUAGAUAAGAAACAAAG